GUUUUUCGGUUGCAGAGAAGCGUCGGAAAUGAGUAAACAAAAAAUUCCCUCGACCAAACCUGAGCCUGAGGUAAACAUUUUUUUCAAACACACUACAUAGUACAUUAACAAUUACUAUUCCACUUACUUUCACGAUGAUAUGAAUGAUUUGUGAAGACUUUUAGUAUUUCUAAUUCCUUUAUGUUCACCUGUAUAGUGUAUGAGUUAUAAAGCUUUAUAUGGACCAAACAAGCCAUCACCAAAAAAGAUCAAGGCCGUGAAACUUUUCAUGAAAGGUCAAGACUUUGAGACCAUAGGAAAAGUUCUUGGCGUAGUCACUGCAACCGCGCAAGUCUAAACAAUUGACGGAUACUGCUCUGGAGCCCCACUGUCGUUUCCCGAAUUAUGUGAUAGUAUGAAUUUAACACCAACAAUGGAAUAAAGAGACAUGGGACAUCCUUACGGAAUACACGUGAUCAACUGGGCAUGGUACACACCUACAAUCAAAUCAGACUUGUAUUAGCUGCAAUGAUAAGAGGCGAAUUGCAUUAAGACUUAAAAUAAAUAAGGAUUUGAGUCCUUUUCGUACUUCUAGAGAAUUUUUAUUGUCAGUGGCGGUUGCAAAAAGCAGUUUGCUCUAGGACGGC